rnacentral:lncRNA from 1 species
GCUGGUAUUUUGCUUUCUCUUUCCGGCCUCCACCCCCCCCCCCCACUCUCUCUCUCGGACCCGCGGGACCACAAUGCUCCGCGCCUCUUGUCAUUGGGAGGCGCAGUAAAGUGGGGGUCACUGGAAAAGAAAAGAACAGAAUUCUAUGGAUAACAGGAAAAGCCCCAGAGUUGGUGCUGUGUUCCCAACCCUAGUCCAGCACAAACCUACGAGCCAAGGCAGCCAGUAUUUGGCCAUUCGUCCAUCCAUCUGCAUAUCCCAGGGAUGCACGAACAGAGAACAGUUCAGCCUCUCAGCCGCCUUCAAUAGAGCAAUGAGAAAGAAGUUAUUUGGGGGAGACUGCUUUUCUCCAUCUGAUUCUAUAUUGACCCGAAUAAAUAAGUUUAAAUACUUCUAAAGUUCCUUUUUGAUCUGUAUAAUUUAUUCCUGUUUGAAAAAAUAAAAAAGAUUAUCCAU